GACGAACGCUGGCGGCGUGCCUAAUACAUGCAAGUUGAGCGCUGAAGGUUGGUACUUGUACCAACUGGAUGAGCAGCGAACGGGUGAGUAACGCGUGGGGAAUCUGCCUUUGAGCGGGGGACAACAUUUGGAAACGAAUGCUAAUACCGCAUAAAAACUUUAAACACAAGUUUUAAGUUUGAAAGAUGCAAUUGCAUCACUCAAAGAUGAUCCCGCGUUGUAUUAGCUAGUUGGUGAGGUAAAGGCUCACCAAGGCGAUGAUACAUAGCCGACCUGAGAGGGGGAUCGGCCACAUUGGGACUGAGACACGGCCCAAACCCCUACGGGAGGCAGCAGUAGGGAAGCUUCGGCAAUGGACGAAAGUCUGACCGAGCAACGCCGCGUGAGUGAAGAAGGUUGUCGGAUCGUAAAACUCUGUUGGUAGAGAAGAACGUUGGUGAGAGUGGAAAGCUCAUCAAGUGACGGUAACUACCCAGAAAGGGACGGCUAACUACGUG
rnacentral:rRNA from 1 species